ACCGGGAAAGGGAAUAACACUCGAAAUGUAUAUAAGAAAUACUCAAGUUAAUAAAAAAAAUAAAUAAAUAAAUAAAAAAAAAUUAAAAAAAAAGAGUAGAAAUAACAACUAAUGUUGACAUAAAUGUAGGAAAAGGUCAUACAUUGCAAUGAGAUGAAGAAGUAGAGAACCAAUUUUUAAAAUCAGUCUAGAUGUCCUCAUUCAAAUAAAUGAAUAAAUGAAAGAAAAAAAAACGCAGAUAGUUUCUGUAGUUGUAAAUGGAUGCAGCAAAAGAAAAGUAAUAGCAAUGUCUGUAAAUUUGGGGCCUCCAAAAAAUGUGAAAAAUGAAUGAUUGAAGAUACUUUUCUCUCUCAAGGCACCUAUUUUAACUAUUUAAAUAUACUUAUUCCAUUUGCCCUAAGUGAUUUCAUUCUGUUAUUAAUUAAAUGGGUAUGAUAUAGAAAUUGUCAUAAAAAGCAAAAUGAAACACAAUAAUACUUAUUAUUUUUUAUGUGGAUGUAUAGAGUGCUUUCAAAUAAACCUCUAAUACCUCCCCUCCGACUUCUGACAUAUUCUAAUAUUAACUUUCUCUCCAACGUAUGUACUCUGUUUACAUUUUAAAUAUUUAAUUUAAUAUUCAUGUGUGUGUGUGUGUGUGUGUGUGUAACAUCUACACCAUCUCCUCCCCUAAAACUCUCCAAUUCCUCUUUUAUGACCUCCUAUUUUUUUCACAACUUCAACUUCAUAUUCUCUCUCUCUCUCUCUCCCAUUUACUACUGCCUCUCAUAGGUAUGGAUCAUUUACUAGAAUAUGCUUAGAUGUUUAGUGCUUAAUUCCUGAAGUAAACUAUUGUUCCUCACAAGGAUCCAUCACAAGAAGUUCUUCCAAUAGUAGUUCAUGAACUUUCCUCCAUCCUUGCUCAGAUUUUGAUCUGCUUCGUCUAUUCCAAGUCUUUUACAUGCAGUCCAAUCCACAGUGAGCUCAUGUGGGAAACUGUGCUAUUUGUCCAAUAAGCAGUGUAGAGAAGUAGAUAAGCAGACAUCUACUUCUUUUUUCUCCUACAAUCUGCCCAUUAUCUCUUUUGCAUUUAUCACUUGAGUGUUGAGAGGAGAUGUCAUUUUAUAUAUAUGUCCCAUUUAGAACUGAGAAUUCCAGUCAGUUAUUCUCUGCGCAUUCACCAGUUGUGGGGUUCUGCAUUAAUCAUCUUUACUAUUUAAGGAGAAAGGUUAGUUAAUGAGUGCCUUUUGAGGUGCACUCAUCUACAGGUAGGAAAAUAAUAACUCAGGAGGCAAUUUAUUGCCGUGUCUAAUUAAGUGAUGAAUAGUAUGAUGUUUUCCCUGCUGUCUAUGCAGACAUAGGGUUUGGGUCAAGUUAACACUAGCAAGUUUGGGUUCCAUCUUGUGAAGUGGGGUUUAAACCCAAUCAGUAAAUGGUUACUUUCGUAGCAUCUGUACCACUGCAGCACCUGUGGGUAUAUCUUAUCAGUCUAUCAUUACAGUACCUCACACUAUGAUAAUAGUUUUUAUUAUUCAUUUCAUUCACUUACACCUCAAAUGAUAUCCCACUUCCCAGUUACCCCCUCAACAGCCCCUCCCAUGAUAGCCCACUUCACAGUUAACAAUCAUCCCGUAUCUGCCCUGCCCACUAAAGGGCCAAGGUAUUCCCAUCCCGUGCUGUCAGGCAAGACCAUCCUCUGCUACAUUUGUAUCUGGAGCCAUGGAUCCCUCCAGGUACACUCCUUGGUUUGUGGUCUAGACUCUGGGAGAACUGGGUGGUCAGAUCAGUCUAUGUUGUUCUACCAGUGGGGUUGUAAUGUCCCCAACUGUUUCUUCAAUUAAAAUUCACAGAACCGCCCCAGCACUGUGAAAGCUAUCUAGUGGUGAUGUAACUUCCAAACAAGUGCUGGUUUGAUUUCUCCAUCCUAUGACUCAAGUAAAUAUUGUCCUUAGUAACGUGUAACCUUUCCCAUCAAGUUCUAGAAGUAACCAAGAGUAAUAGCAAUUUUUAAUCCAUGGGUGAAUCCAUUCUGUACCAUUUUUUCCAUAGCUGUAUGUCUGUCCACUGGAACAUAGUGAAUUUUAGUCAUUUUCAUUCCCAUCCAUCUCUCACUCAAACUCUUCCUAUCAUCCUAAAUAAAUCUCUUUUUAGCCUGUUUUUGCCACUGAGUUUAAUUGGGAUGGCUUCACGAGUUUGAUGAGAAAUAUUUGUGUGUCUCCUUCCUUGAUGUGACUAAGUAGAUUUUAUUGCAUAAUUUAGGCAUGCACAAAGCAAAAGUAGAGAACUGUGUAAAAUUAUUUUAGUACCAGUUGUUAAACAUAUUCCCAAAUGUAUUCACUUGUUAUUUAAAGUAAUCUACAUUUCCCUAUACUCAUUCUAGGCAGAAACUUACAGUCAAUCCUGGCCACCUUACCUGUUCAUUCCCACAGCCUCAUAAUGGAUGCCUGAUGACUUCUUGGGAUGAAUACUGUCUUUUCUUCAGGUUUCAGAAAAGGAAACCAGUGAAAGCAAGACUCUACUGCAGGCAGGCCAACUCAGAGGCAGAAUUCUGAAACCUUCUUUCUAAUAUCUGCCAUAGACUAUUUUUUAACUAAUAAAAUGCCUUUGGUUCAACCAUCAAUCACUCAUACCAAUGCGGGUGGUCUGAAGAUUCUCUAGUCAAUUUAUCUGAGUUUCUUGGGUAUUGUUUUCAUGCCAUACAUGUAUUUAACAAACAAAUUAAGUGGAAACAUCUUGUUUCAAUUUAUUUUAGCGCAAAUUUGAAUUUAGUUGCUUCUUCUCCUCCCUCCACCAGUUUCAUACUCUGACCUAAUUGUGUGCUUAAUGUUCUUGUGAUGUUUGGCAACGAUACUCAUUAAUUCUAUUACCUCUUGCAGGAUAAAGGGGGAAUUUUGAAAUGGCUAGCAGCUACAGAUCAAUACUCUAACUCAAUAGAGAUAAUUAUAGGAAUCACUAGGAGACCAGCAAGCUGCCAGCUGUAAGCAAUCAUUCUGGGCCUCAAAUAAAUCUGCAGAAAACACAAAGCAAAUUUUAAGAGCAUUAUUCUGAAAUGGAAUGUCUCAUACCGACAAAUGUCUUUGUGUUAUUUAUUUGUACAGGUUUGUUAUCAUUAGCUCUUGAUGCUAUGUAUUGAUUUUUAAAUACUGGUGCUGACUAAGUUUUAUCCUGCACCUUCUUUCCUCUGUAGACUUUCUAUUUUUUUCUACCACUGCCUUUGGGUGAUCCGACUAAAUUACAAGAUUUGCUUAUGCAUUUUACACUUUAAAAUAUGUGCAUCUCACAUUAAUAGCAAUUAACAACAAAGAUGCCAGAAGCAGGGUUGUCAUGCUCCUAUAAAGAGGCAUACUGUUUCCUGUAGCUCAGACUUCCUGCCCUGUCUACAUUUAAUUUAGUGAAAAUUUACAUUUUCCUGUCGAUUUUGCUUUUUUAUUUAUUUAUUUUUCUUUUUUACAUUGGAUAUUUUCUUUAUUUACAUUUCAAAUGUUAGCCCCUUUCUCAGUUUCCCCUCCAGAAACCCCCUAUCCCGUCCCCCUUCCCCUGCUUCUAUGAGGGUGCUCCCCCCUCCAUUCACUCCAUGGCAUUCCCCUAUACUAGGGGUCCAGCCUUCCCAGGACCAAGGGCUUCUCCUCCCACUGAUGCCCUACAAGGCUGUCCUCUGCUGCAUAUGCAGCUGGAGCCAUGGGUUGCCCCAUGUGUACUCUUUGGUUGAUGGUUUAGUCCUGGGAGCUCUGGUGGGUCUAGUUGGUUGAUAUUGUUGUUCUUCUUAAGGGGUUGCAAGCCCCUUCAGCUCCUUCAUUUUUAUUUUAAUCAGCGAGGCUCUAAUCACUAUGGCUGAUUCUCAGCAUCUCUCUGCAUUUCUCUGGGCUACAUAGAUGAAUAUAUCAUUUCUCUUAUAUGAAAUUAUUUUUGUUUGCUUGCUUAUAGCUCUGUCCUAGGAUGAGUAGCUGCUUUUUAAACAUUAUUGAAUGUGAACUGCAGCCUAUUACAUCCGAGAAUUCAAAUGGAAAGCUAUUCUAUUGUAUGCACCCCAAAGAAAUCAAUGAAGCUAAAUUUUAUACCAACAGUAUUAUUCACAUUUGUUCCAAAUCUCUAUGUCAGCAUCCUGGGUAUUAUAAAAAUAUUUAAAUAGAAAAUUAUUAGAACCUUUCACAAGGAUAUGUAUAUACACCUACUGCCCUAGCCAAGGCAUUAGAAGUGAGGGAUAUAAGAUCCUGAGAAUCAAUUCUGUUAUGCAGAAUCCGACUGUGCAGUACUUCUGAAUAUGGGAUGGCUCUCAUCUUCCUCCCAACCCAUAGAAAAUUAGGUAAAAGACCCUAGGAAAUGGAAAGACUACUUUGUAAGAUUCAUGGUUCUCAUUACCAGGUUUUAGGUACAUGUGCUUCUGCAAGUAUAUAAAAGUGAAUGUCAUACGCCAAUCCAGGGUAAUAUUUCUUUAGAAGCCAAACACCUUUGGUUUUUGAUACAGUGUGUGUGAUUUGGAAGUGAAAGCUAGGUCUGCUUCAGCCUCCUAGCCCUGUGUUCCCAGAAAUAAGACUCUGACUUAAAAUAUAUUUACAAAUUCCUUCCUUAUAUAGUUAGGCUCUAUUCUGAGUAGAUCAAACCUUAAGAUACCCCAAUUAUUUUCAUCUACAUUAUGUCACAUGGCUGAUUACCUGUGCUCAGGUAUCACGUGUCUGUCUCCUCACAUCAUCCCAGGUAGACCUUCCUUUGCCUCACUUGACUCAAGAAUCCUUUCUCCUUCCUGAUGUCCCACCUUCUAUUUCCAGUUUAAAAAUAUUCUCUCUAAACCUGAACUUAACAGAAUCCUUUCUGACUGGCCAGCAAUCCUCAGUGAUCUACCUGUUGCUCUCCAUGAGUCUGGGUCCAUAAACAGUUAUCUCUAAAUCUAAUUUUAAGGUGGGUCCCAUCAUGUGUGUUUGAUUCAAAAUCUCAUGCUGGCUUCAAAAUCACUAUGUAGCUAAAUGUUGCCUUAAACAUCUUAUCCUCCUUCUUCAGUGUAUACACUGAAGAAGUGUAUACCACCAUGUUCAGUGUAUACAGUGCUGGGGAUGUAGCCCAGGGCUUUUCAUGCCCGCCAUGAAAGCACUCUGAGAAGCUACAUGCCCUGUCUUGUUUACUUUUAAUACUCAAUUUUUUGAAGCUAUGGGCACUUUUAUUAUUUUAUAGUUCUCUGUUUGGUUUAGUUUUGCUUUAAAUUAUUCACUAACUCCCUUUGUGGCCAAAGAUGAUUGACCAUAUCUCUAAAACUGAUAGCAUGAAAUGCAUUUCUUAAAAGUUGCACAUUGUUUUGUAAAUCUUCCAAGAAGUUGUGGAUAUGAAAAUAUUUAACAUAUAAAAAAUCAAAUGCCUCCUUGAAACCAGUAGCAGGCUAGAAGGACCCAGACAGGUACUAACCAUUUCCACUAGGGCUUGCAAAUCGUGCACUGCACUUAGUUUCUUAAUUGACAAGGUGAUAGAGUGGAAAGUAAACAUUAAAAAAAAAGACAUUAUCCAGGUGCUCAGAUUUUAAGAUUCCUCAUCAAUUUAGUCUUUAUGUAAACAGUUAAUGUAGGCAGAUGACAUUUUUACACAAAAACUGGCUUUAUAACUAUCUGGAGACCUUUUAAAACGUGUUAUAUUAUCUAUCCCCGGGGAAAAGUCUGGGAAGUCAUCUCAAGCAAUUGUGUCAUAUGUAUUAAUUUUAUGAGAACUUCGGCACACAUGGCCAGUGAUCCACUGGGGAAUUUCAUUUAUUUUGGUUUCCACAGCUUAGUGCUGUGUAAAGAUGAUGGAUUUAUGCUGAUCCUAGAAGCUUUCUUUAGAAAGUCAAACUUCUGUCUUCCAGACAAGAGUCCUUCAUCUAGCAGGCUGAACUCCAUUUUUAGAGGAGAUAUGCCUUCUUUCAGUCACCCUUGUUUUUGUUUUGUUUUCCUUUGUUCUCUAAUUUCAUAUGGAUGUAGUGCUUCUUAGCUGCAGGCAUUGUCUCUUAUACCUCUCCCAUCCCUAUUACCUACCACAGAACUAUCUUUCCCACAUUUAUAAUGUUUUGCUCAGUUUUAUGGGCCACUAAGUUUAACCAGGACUGUCUGUGUCUCAUGGUUUUGUUGCUAUUAGAAAGUUUGACCCCCUCAUGAAGUCAAACUAAAGAUGAUGUCUGCCCUUCUCUCAGUGUCCGUUAAUAGCUCAUAGCUCAGCAGUGAUCAAUAGUAGGGUGACAAGAGACUCUCCUUAAAUUAUGAUUGGCUGUUGUCAGGCCUAGACUUGUGCGGGCCCAUUGUUGACAGCCUGUACUACAGUGAUGUCAUAAUUGCAUUAGUUGUGUCAUGCACACAAGAUAGACUUUCUUAACCUCUGUAUCUUACUCUAUUAUCCCUCCAAGCUUAUCUGUGUUGUUGACCAAACCCUAGAGGAAGUGGGAGGAAUGUUCCAUUGGGAGGUGAGCACUAGAACACCCAUUGUUUGAAUGUAGCAGCCUUUUAUGCUAAUAUUUUCUACCAUUCUCAAGCUGUGAUUUAUAUAUUUCUAAUAGUAAAUAUCCCUAGUAAUUAUUGUAUCACACAGUUUAUCGUUACACAAGAAGGACUUUUCUGUGCACAGACUUUAGCAGAAUGACUAGAUUUUUCUUACGUGAUGGGAGUACCUCUAUUUUAUUUUCCUAAUCGAAACUCUCUGCAGGUAUGACCAGGUAUCCCAUAGGAAAAAAAGAUGCCCAUGGGUAAGAACCAUUGCUCUAGGCCUCUAUUGGAUAUGUAGUUGGUGGACGCUUUUCCCAUUUGGUAGACUUCUGUUUUGUCCUAUUGAUGGUAUCCUUUGCUUUACAGGAGCUUUUCAAUUUCAUAAGGCCCCAUUUAUUAAUUGUCAAUUUAGUGCCUGCACUAUUGAAGUUCUAUUCUGUUUGGGCAGUUAUCUCCUGUACUGAUGCUCUCAAGGCUAUUCCCCCAUUUUCUCUUCUAUCAGAUUUAGUGUAUCCUGUUCUACAUUGAGGAUUUUGAUUAAAGUGGACUUAGGAUUUUUGCAGGGUGAUAAACAUGGGUUUAUUUGUGUUAUAUGUAGAUAUCCAUGUUAGACCAGCUCUAUUUAUUGGGGAUACCUUCUUUAUGCAUUGUGUAUUGCUGCCAUAUUUUUAUAUCAAAAAUCAGGUGGCCAUUGGUGUGUAGAAUUAUGUUUGGAUGUUCAAUAUAAUUUCACUGACCAUGUCUGUUUUUAUGCCAAUACCAUGUGUUUUUUUGUUAUCAUAGCUCUGUAGUAGAGCCAUAGUAUCAGUGAUGGUGAUUCCUCUAGAAGAUCUUUCAUUAUUCCUGAUAAUUUAUUAUCAUUAUUUGCACUUUUUAUUUUUCAAUAUGAAACAGUACUGUCCUUUUACAGUUUGUAAAGAAUUGUCUUGGAAUUUUUAAGGGAUCACAUUGUAUCUGUGUAGAUUGCCUUUGAUAAUAUGGUCAAUUUUACUACAUAAUCCUACCAAUUCAAGAGGGAGACCAUGUCCAACACUUCCAGGAUCCUCGAAGCAGGGUGACUCAGAAACCUAAGAAGGAAUCAAGCAUUACUGGAAAAAAGGUCAAUGGAAUGAUUCUUAGCUAUUUUGCUAUCCUCAUAGACCACAAUCCUCAUCAGAAAGGCUUCUUCCAGCAUCUGAAGAGAGUAGAUUAAGAAACCCACAGCCAAACAUUAGGCAGAGCCCCUCAGAACAGGGAGAAGAUUGCAGCGCCAGAGAGCUUGAGGACACCAGGGGAACAGGCAGAAGAUUCAACCAAGCAAGUCUCAGAGUGGUUCACAGGGACUGAAGUGCCAACCGUGGAGCCUGCAUGGAUCUACACCAGGCCAACUUGCAUACCUGCUUUGUGUUUAGCUUAGGAUUUUUCUGGACUCCUAACACUGGGAGUGAGGGUGUGUUUGAUACUUUUGCCUGCACAUAGAAAAUUUUUCCUCUUACUGGGCUGCCUCAUUCAUCCAUACUAUGAGGGCUUGUGUAUACUUGUUCACAUUUUGUUAGGUCAUGCUCUAUUAUUUUUCAUUGGAGGUCUGCUUUUUUCUAAAGGAAAAUGAGAGAGCAGUGGAUCUGGGGAGACAUAAGGUAGUGUGGUAGGGUUGGAGAGCAGUGGAGGGAGGGGAAGUUCUGGUCAGGAAUUAUUUAUUUAAAAAGUAAAUAAAAAAGAAAGAUCCAUUAAUCUAAGGUGCAACCCUGUCUAUUGCUUGUUUUAUUGGUGUCAAUACACAAAACUAAAAGUAAAUAAUAAAUUUAGGUCAUUAGAGAACAUGUUAUUGACAAGCUGAUUAUUUAGACAAUAGGUGAUUGGAUUAUCAAAAUAUGUUAUACAAACAGAGAUACAAUGAUUGUUAUUUAUAUUUAAUAAGUAUUUACUGUGAUGAACAUAAUUCUCAGCAACUGGUGUGUGUUUACAUAUUUAUUUCUAAAGUCUACAAGAAAAGGAUCCAUUUUCCAUCUUACUGAAGUAGCAAUAAUAGAGCUGAUUUUUGUUAAGGUCACAUAGCUAGCUGAGGAAUGAGGUGAGAAAUGUAUUUGACAGCACUCAAGAUACAUUUAAAGAGAUUGCCCAAUGGUUAAGAAUACUUGCUGCUCUUUCAAAGGAUAGAGGUUCAGUUUCCCACACAGUGGCUUACAACUACGUGUAACCUAAGGUCUAAGGGAUCAGACACCUUCUUCUGGUUUCCAAGGGUUUUUUCAUGAACAUAGAACAUGUAAUUUACUAAAUACAAUAUAAAAUAUAUAUAUAAACUAUAAAAAUAAAUUAAAAAUCUUUUAAAGAAAAUAUAUGUUUAGAUUGUAGACUUUGAGUGCUGUCCACUACCAAGCAGAUAGUCAUGACAUUUUCAUGAAGGGAAUCCAGUAAUUACCAGUUGCACAGUUUUACAUUAAUAAUUCUUCUCAAUUGCCCAAACCCUUCCAGAAGUUUCUGAUGUCUUAGCUACCAUGUAUGACAAUUUGAAAUUAAACCAAUUUACCAUCCUUGAUGCAGAUAUAUUUCAUUGUGGCAGCUAAUUUCUCCUUUCUUUGGGGGAUUUUUAUAUACAAACAUCAGAAUCAUAAUACUUCAUGUAAAAAUUUGGAAUUAUUGUUGUUUUUGAUAGAUCAGAAGAUCUAGAAUUGAUGCAGUCCUUCAUUAAUCCUUAUAGUCUAUAUCUCUUCCUGUUUGAUAUCGAUUUCCUAAUUGGUUCACAAUGGGAGCAACUGUUUCACUAUGGCUUUCACUCCACGAUGGUUUAUAUCUUGACUUAAUUGAUAAGGUAGAAUAAAUUCCUCUUCUAUUAAGCGGCUUUUGUAAGGCAUGUUGUUAUAGCAACGAGAAGAAUAACUGUUGUGAUAGUAAAGAGAAGAAAUAUAAAUACUUAUAUUUAUUUUCAGGAAAAUAUUAUUAGAAGUCCAAAGAGUUACAAUAUGAGACAGUUGAGAAAUGGGUUUAAUAUCAAUGUGUCUCUGUAUCUGGGUAUAAAAAUAAUCAUCAUGGAGAAAAGAAAAGGAAAGUAGAAAUGAUGUAAUCACAUUAUAAUAUUAUAAAGUUAAAAAGUCAUAUUUAAAAACAACAACAAAAAGUCCUAUUUGAAAAAGUUACCUUAUUUCACUUGUAUUUCAGAAAAGCAAUAAUACCAAUUAGCUUGUAUAUAUUUAUUUUUAAAGUUCUAGAGGGAAUAGAGAAAUGACUUGAUAUCUUCAUGAAUAGGUUCCAUUGGAGGCAUUUUGAGUCACCCAAUCUUAUGCACUAAGGAGCACUAGGCCAUCUGGCUUUAUUGCUUUUUGUUGUGACUGGAGGUCAGAAUGCUACCAGCAUCUAUUGAACUUCUAAAAUGUACAGAACCAUACUAGAUCCAAAUCUGAAAAUAAACCACUAAAUCUGUUGCCUGGGACUAUAUAAUGUAUAUGUCUAAUACUUUAUCUGAUAAUUAGAUUGGUCUAUUAUGUUUAGGUGAGUUUGUUCAAGAAUUAGAUCCCUGCAGACACAACUAAAGAUGUGGCUAGGUGAUUCUGUAGGAGGUUGGCCACCUAAUUCAGUGACUGAUCUAUUUCCAGAAAGAACACAGCACACAAAGAGAUGUUAUCAGAGUCCUGCCCAGGCUUCUGCAGUUCAAGUAAGACUUAUGUUUGAUGGAAAACAGUAAGGAACAAGCGAGGUUCUUCCUCUCAGAUCUCAAAAGGAACCAGCUCAGCUAAUGGCCAGGUCUUGUUUUUGCUUCUAGCUUAUAGGACCAAACCAGCAUGUUAUUACAUUAAACAGCUCUCUUCCUGGUUUUCGUUAGAGUAGCCCUAGUCAACUGGUACUCUGUGCUAAAAUCCUUCUAGUUGUACUCAGCUUAUUUGAGGAUUCUGUUCAAGAAUUACUAUAAGAAAACGAAAAAAGCAAAAACCCAGAAUCUACUCCCUGAAGUGAUUGUGGAUGCCUUCUUAAUAAGCAUUGCACUUAGCAAAAACUUGGGUAAAGGUAAAGCAAGAUUAGGCUGGCUUAUGAAAACAAAGACAUUUUACUUGUAGUGUUUCCUCCCCAGCUGAGAUGAAACACAUUUCUGAAUGAAUUUACAUCAUAUCUCUAAACUUGCAGCAGAAUGAUGUCUUGAUUGUUGAAGGUUUGCUUCCAGAAAGGAACCGGAUGUCCUCCCCAAGAAAAAAUUAGCAAUCAAAACACUCAUUUCUUAACAUUAGGUUUUUGCUUCCCUUUCAUUCAUAGGAAAUAUGCAUAGGAAAUAAACUCAUUUGAUUUAUGACUAUGAUAGAAAAGCAUCACAUUCUUCAAAGUCACCUUGUCUUUACCAAACUACAAAAAAGUCAUAUGAGUGUGUGUAUGCAUAUAUGUGUAUGUUUGUGCUGUACAUAUAUAUAUAUAUAUAAUAUAUAUAUAUAUGUGUGUGUGUGUGUUUAUGUGCAUCUGUGUAUGUGUAUGUGUUAUAUGUAUGUGUGUAUGUGUGUGUUGCACAUGUGUGUGUGCUGCACGUGUGUGUGUGUGUGUGUGUGUGAGUGGCACACACUUCUUUAUACUGAAAUUUAAUUUUCAUAUUUUAAUGUCAUAUCUGCUAGCAUUUUCCCCAUGUGAAUGAGUCGCAGUGUUCCCGAGAAGAGCACAGCUCACUUUGCUUUGGGAUCUUCUGGGUCUCCUGUCCUGGGGCUCCAGUGUUCUCCAGCUGAACCAUAUCUACUCCAGGCAUUCUGCUUCAGAUGCCCCAUGAACCUCAUCACUGAGGUCAUUUGCUUUGGCUAUGUGGCACCACUACAUUCAAUGGUACUGUUGAGUAGACUGAUAAAACGUAUUGGUUGGCACCAAGCUUUUACAAAAACAUGGUAAUUAUUUUCUCUCCAAGAAAUAAAGUGUUUGUUCAUUGUCAGCCUUUCACUUUUGUGGCCUUGGCGUCGUUAAAGCUUUUUUUCCAGAAACAGAUUUCUCAGAGAAGUAUAGGAAAAAAAAACUUUUGGUCUAACAAAAAUAAACCAUAUGAAGAGGCCUUGCUGUAUUUGCAUAUGACCAGGGCUUUGUUCCCAGCAAUCAUAUUGGGCAGCUUACUGCUGACUGUAACUCCAGGUACUGGAGAUCUAGUAUCCUCUUAUACUUUCAGUAGUCACCAAGCUUUCAUGUACAUUCAAUAGGAACGCACUUAUAUGGCUAAACUAAUUUUUUAAAAAGUCAACCUGCCUCAAAUGAAGAAAUUUGUGUCCCAUAAAAGAUAUUCCUUUUUCUGGGCUUCCAUGACUGACUCAGUAUCUACAUACAAAUUAUGAGAAACUCAUGAGGUUGUCUAUUCAAGUAGCUAAUUCAGAGCUUGAUGCUAGAUUUGACUUCUAUUAAAAUAGUAUGAGAAACUGAAAGGGCCUUGAUGAGGCCAGAAAGAGAAAGAAAAUGAAUCCCGAUGGAAUGACUUUCUAGACAGCAAUUCAUCUGUUAGUGGUAUUGAACAACCAAGAAAGGUAAUGGUUUCACAGUGACGAGACAGGAGAGAACCACACACACUGGAAAGAGAAGACUUAGAUUAAAGUGCACACGCAAAGAGUAAAUCUAAAAGCUAUCUGGAAUAUUUCAGCUUGGGCUACGAGUUAGGUGGCAUCAAAUACACAGGAAACUUUGCUUUACUUAUAAAAUAAUUUUGUAUUUUCUGUAAAGGGUUCAACAGGUGCAGUGCUAUGUCUCAGUAGAUAUAGGUGUUUGCAACCAAGACUGAUGAACUCAGAUAGAACCUAAGGACCCACAGGUAGCAGAAAAGAACAAACUCUUGCAAACUGUUUCCUAGCACAUUUGUGCUUAUGCAUAUGUAAGAUGUGGAGGAAUUUUAAUCCAACAACCUGGCUACUGUGGCAAUGGGUCACAUCCAAAGAACUUCUUGGUCUCUGUAGUCUGGCUGGAAUAAAAUGCCUUUAUUCUAUCUGACUGGAAUACAGACACACAUUUAAUCAUAAACAAUGUAGAUAAGGUUAGUUUGUAGAAAGAAGCAGCUAUAUUUGAAAGAACAUCUAAUUGGAAGGCAGUGAGUGGAGUUCAGUUGAGUUCAGUUCAGUCAGUUCUGUCAGUUGACUUCAGUUCAAUGGAGUUUGGAAGUUCAGUAAGUUGAGUCAGUGCAGGGAGUGCAGUGUAGUGGAACUGAGUUCCUUCAUGAGUUCCUGAUGUUCAGUGCACACCAGCAGAAGCCAUUGAAGCCAGAGAAUAAAAAGUCAGAUGAAUAGAACAAAUUGCCAGAGUUAGUUUGAGGUCAAGAAAAGCAAUUCAGUGAGAACCUGAAAGAAGCCAGAUGGAAUCAGUCAGCUUGUAGAGGUGUUUGAGCCUGAAGAGCUGAACAAGCUAGUCAGAGUUCACAGAGCACUACAAGGAGUGAGUAUUCAGCAGUAAGCCCUUGAGAUGACAAUUACAUCAGGCAAAUAAAAGCUAUGUUUCAAAUAACUCAAUAAAUAAAUAAAUAAAUAAAUAAAUAAAUAAAUAAAUAAAUAAAUAAAUGUAGCAAAGAGGUGAGCAAAGAGAAAAUUUACAAGUGAAAUGAAAAAUUGCCUGGAGUUAUUUAUCUAGUCAGUAAUGAGCCUCCAAAAAUUUAUUGAGAGGCAUUUUGCUUUGUUUUUAUUUGAUUUUUUCAACUGUUAGAAAAGUUAAAAAAUGUUUUUGUAAUAGUUUUAAAAGAACACCAAUAUACACUUCACAGUUCUCUAGAGUUCGGUAGAUCCAUUUCAGUGUAGUAGAUUUGGGCUGGAUUCACCUCUCUGAUCCUAUUAUCACUUUCUGAAAACUGUUAUUAUCACUCUAUCUUCUUGUGUAGUCGCAAUCUAUUUUUUUUAUCUCCGUGGCUAUUUUAUCUAUACAUAUGUCUGUGUACCACUUGCAUGCUUGUUGAGGCCAGAGAGGGCACUGGAUCCCUGGAACUAGACUUACAGAUUUUAUCUACCAUGUAAGUGCCGGGAAUAGAAUCUGGGUCCUCUGAACGAAAAUGUAGUGCUUUUAAUCUCUGAAGAAUCUCACCAUCAUGGAAAUUAACUUCUCUAGGGGCACUACUAGUAAUAAAAUGAACACUUAAUAAUAGAUAAUUAUUAUAGGCACAUGAUUUUAUUACCCUGAUAUGAGCCUCAUGGUGUCAAUCAAUACCUGUAUGUGCCCAGAUAUUUACACAUCAAUAGAUAAUGGAAUUAUGUGUACACAUGUAAUUUGCUUGCUUACGUAAACAUAAGCACAUCUAUAGAUUUUGAUUAUUCAUAGCCAAAACCACUAAUCAAGGUAAUUCUUUCCAACUCGUUGAUAAACUCGUUUUCACUGCUACCAAAUUCUCCACCUUUUCUAAUACAACACAGAGAGAGAGAGAGAGAGAGAGAGAGAGAGAGAGAGAGAGAGAGAGAGAGAGAGAAAGAGAGAGAGAGAGAAACACAUACACACCAAUAAUUUCAAUUUAUUGAGAAAAGGCAUUACCAUAAAAGCAUUUUGGAUAGCAAUUUUAUGAGCUAUAUGGAUGUACUUUUCCAAAUAACUCUCCUUCCAAGAAGAUAGGCUUGAAGUUAGCAGCUUAGAGCUUUCUAUAGAAAGUGAUGUUUAAACUGUCUGCUGAAAAAGGCAGAAUGAUGAGUGAAUUUAAGCACCACCUUUCACAGAUGUUCUUUGCCUGAACUAUUUUAUUCCCAUGGUAUAUACUUAGCUCUAUUAAAAUAAUAUUACCUUCCCCGCCUUUGUGUGUUUUAUGUUCAAAUGGCUUCAUGGUUCUUAAAAGCUGAGGGUAGUCUCUUCUGCAAACCAUGUUUCCAGAGUCGGAGGCCAGAGCAAGAAUAUUGUAAAAUCUAUAAUGUCCAUUAAAAUAUAUACAGGACCUUCCCUAAAAUUUUAGAUACACUAAUGGUUGCUAUCUUCAUUUCUUUAUUUACCCACCUCAAAGCCCAAAGCACAUGGAAGUUGUGAAGAAAUUGAAGAAAUGCUAUAACUCCUAACCCCACCUUUCCUAAUAGACACAUUGCUUAACCCAGAGUCAGUGUGCAGGCAAAAAUGUGUUUGUUGCAGUACAGGAUGAUAGUUUGCCUAAGCCGUGGCUUAAAACUCUUUGGCUAAUUGGGGAUAAAUUGUAACUGAUUUCUUUUUUACUUGAAACGGAGAAGUAAAUGUCUAUUAGUCAUUAUUCCAACAAGAAUCUGUCAUGGUUUUAAGAUGAAGGAUGUCUGCAGGAGGAAUUUUGCCAGAUUAUUGGAUCAUUAGACUGGUCCCAAUUCAUCAUCCUUCAUAGAGCUUGGCUGUAAUCUGCACAUUUAUAUGAUAAUAUUCUGGUUGUGAUGAAAUGUUCUUGUAUUAUAUUCUUUUGAGUAAAACUGUAUAGACUUAACUCUUUCUGUCUCUCCACUUAGGAAAUGUCACUGUGGAUUAGAACUUGAUUUUGACAAUUGUGUAAGGACAAAUUUGAAAACAAGGACAUUCAUUUAUGCAGUCUCAAAACUCUGUAGAAAUAUAUGAAUUCCCUUGAGGGCAUGAGACAGUUCUUGAAAUGUUGCCUGCCCUGUGGGAGAAGACAAAAAUGGUUGAAGCCUAGGCCUGAAUCCUCCUCUUUUGUCCUUAGGAACACACUUGGACAGCCGUGUUAAAAGUUAACCAUGACAAAGAUGGUCAGAUGGGAGUGAGAGGAUUAACCCUGGAUUUUAAUGCUUAGACUAGUAUCAUCUUGUGAUUUCUGUAAGGAAUCCUGAAAAUGCAGCCUCUCUUCCCAUAGAACAGUAUCUAUUCCCAAACCAUUAGCAGGAAACAAUCCAUCAACGGCAUAGAAAGCCCGACUUUCUUCCUAAUUCCUAGGCAAAGUUAAUUUACAAAACCAAACCAAACAAGCAUACCAACAAACAUGGGUUGAGAUUGAAGAUGUGGCUUACUGGUUAAGAAUGCUCACAGUUCUUGCCGAAGUCCAGAGUUUAAUUCCCUGAAUCCAUUUUUAGUGGCUUGCAACUACCUGUAAGUCAAGCUACAAAGGAUCAGACACGUUCUACUGACCAAUAGCUUUGAUGAAUUCCCAGCAGCGACCACAGCAAAAGAUAAAAGUCAGUCAACAAUCUAGUAUAGAUUGGGAAGGGGUGAUGAGCCUCAUUCCUAAUUGAGGAGCUGCGAACACUUUGUGACACCUAGGGGAAAGGGGUGUAGUUUUCCCAAAGAUCUGGGUCCUAUAAAGUUAACCACAAUGCAGUGUUUGACCAAUACGUAGAAAUAUAUGGAUAUCACUAGUCAGCAUUCAUGGACUAUUAAGUUUUAUUAAAGGAUAUGAAGCUUUAGAAGUAGGGAGCUGGGUGGGUCUAGAAGGAGCUAAGAGGAGGAGUUGUGGGUUAAUACAGUCAAGAUAUAUGUGGUAUCAUUUAGAUUUUCAGUAGAUUAAACAAAACCAGUUUAUUUUUAGUUAUUACCUGUGUGCAAUUAGCAAAAGAAAGCUUAUAAGCUAGACCCAUCACCAUGAGAUGAGGUAGAGAGCAGAAGAGUCAUUCAAGAUACAAUUACUGAGUACAGAAGGAGUAGGCAUAUUUUAAUUAGGAUUUUACUAAUUACUAAUUUAUGGAAAAUCCUUAUAGUUUUUAAAUUAACUUACAAACUUGGGCCAGAGUUCAGUCUUCAGGCUAUUACAUCCUUUCUUUUAUUUUCUCCUUCCACCACUCCUCUCUGCAUUAAACUAUUCCUUUAUAAUAGUCCCAUUUAUCAAAGAAGAUAUUGCAAAACUUCACAGGCUACUAUCUAAAAAGAGGGUUUAUCAUAAUGUCAAAUAGACAUCACCUAGAAAAACAAUUAUUUCGAAAGGCUCUAUUAAUACCUGACAAUAAAUUUGUAAUGCUGAAUUCUGUUUCUUUUGCAAUAUUUUUUUAUAAAUUUUAAGAUAACCUUCCAUAUUUGGAUCUUAAUGUAUUUCUAAUUAAUUUUAAUGGAUUUUGCAUUUGUGAAAAGACUAAGCUAAAAUAAAAAAAUUAAACAAUAAUUAAACUAUAAAUUAGAAUAUGCUAAUAAAUUUGAAUAUGCAAAUGAUGAAUGAAUUAAUAUAAGAGGUAAAUUUUCUGAACUUGCAAAUAGUAUUUUAUUUCUUCUUAUUUAUUAUUAUUGUGCAUACACAACAUGGUGUGCCUGUGGGUUUAGUUCAUUCCUUUCUCUUUAUUGUGGGAUGCAAGGACUUAGGUAUUCCAGACUAUGGACAAGUGUUUUACCCAUGGGCCAUGUCAUGGGCCCCUAUUAUAUUUUUAACAAAUGGACAAGGCAUAGGUGGAGUCAGUUGCUAUAACUUUUACAACAGUCUAAGAGUAUUAUGGUGACAGACAGAUAUCAUGAAGAAUCAGUUGUAUCAAUAAAAGGGAAAGGCUUUUGUUAAUGUUUUAAAUGAUGUAAAUCAUCACUGAGCAGAUACUCUUAAAUAAUCCACAUUAUCUACUAGCUUCCACUAAUAUUUUUAAAGGGAAAUGUUAAAUUCAUCUUACUGGAUAUCUUCUGGUGCAUUGAUAACCUACAGUCAAUAUAAAGGGAAAAAAAAACAACUGGCCAAUAUUUGGUCAUUUUACAAACUACUGUGCUUCCUACGUUCUAAGAUGUCAAGUUCAAUGACUCUUAAAUGUGUCUAUUAGCGCUCUUUAGCACAGUUACAGAAUUAUUAUUUCCUUUAUGUAUCUUUGAGAGACAAAAUGUUGAUUAUUUUUUCAUUAAUUACGUUCCUUAUUAUAUUGUAAAUAUGAAGUUUUUCUCUGCCUUCUUGGAAACUGCAAUGGAAAUGUAGGAGUCUAUUGACUCUAUGCACAGACUAAGAGAUACGCAAAUGUCCCCAUAUAAUUUAGAGUAAGAAAAUUUCUUGUUGAAGUGAGAAUAAUCCUCCAUAUCUAACACUCUUCCUGAACUCAAUUAUUUUAGUUUGAUAAAAGAAUCAAACAUACAGAGCAAUAAAAUGAAUGAAAUAAGUUUAGAAUUCUAUACUCCAGUAUUCUAGCAAAUUCCAAGGAUCUCAUUAUCUACUUGAAUCAUCAGGAAAAUGUAUUUCGUAUGUAAGAAGUUUGUUUUUCUUAGUCUACAUAGGUUCUGUGUUUUGAGAUAGUGUCUUGCCUUGAAUAUCAGGUUGCCCCUGAAUGUAUCCUCCUCCUCCUGCUUCUGCCUCUCAAGCUCCAAAGCAACAGGUGUGAACAGCCACACACAAGAUGAUCAUGCUUGAUUAAUUACGUUUCAAAAAUAAUUCCUUGAGGUCUAUCCUUGCAAAGGAUGAAGGGCUCUAAAACAGGAGUGAAAAGGUAGCUAGAUGACCACUGACUAGCAUUCUUAGUAGCAACAGGCUAGUGCUAGUAGGAACAAUUAAAGCAAAUUAAAUGGCAGAGAGCCUGACCUUUUCCUCUCUCUGGUUUUUGGCAUGUACAUUUUAUAAUACCAAAUAACAACUCUAUGGAAUAUGAACAACGGUUUUCUCUGAAACCAAAAUUUAGUCAUUAAGAACACAAAUGGCAACUUCCAAAAAAAAAAAAAAAAAAAAAAGAAGUCCAUGUGAACCAAUGCAAAACAAAAAGUAGGUGCUAUUUCAGGAUUGUAGUUAGCGCCACAUGCCUAAGGUCAAGUGAGUCUUAGUUGCAAAUCUGUGUCUGCAUGUUCUGGAAAAUAAAUUUUAGGAUCAUUUCAGACAAGUAAUUUUGCAUACCAUGUGGCAAUUGAACCACUCUGUUCAUUUGUCUUACUCAUGAGGAAUCAUUGAAAAUUAUUUUAAUAUUAUUGAAUUCACUUCCUAUCAUUUGUCUUCACAAAAGCCCAAUGAGAGCUUCUAUGGAGCUAAAGGAGAUAUCCAUUAAUGAAUAUUUGAAAGGGAACAUAAGGUUUUAUAAGGAAGUGGGUUCUUCAUGGUAAAGAAGUAGUCUCCUAACACUAAUAGAGGUGGUUGGAGGAUCACUCUUUGCUCUCAGAAUGCAACAGAGAGCCUGAAGGAUUUUCUUGUUUCAGACUUCCUUCCUGCAGAGUUCUCUUCAUAAUUCUCAAUAUGGUGAGCAGCAUGAAGAUGCACUUCCUACCAAAUGUGCUAAUAUGAAGUCAAUUUAAAUUCUGAGUUGACAUUGAGGGAGCAAUCUGUAAUUAUUCAAUUUUGCAAUAAACUCUAGUUGUAGAUGCUCUAAGCAGAAAAGAUGAGAAAAAUGUGCAAAUACAAAUUGUGUGCUUAAAUCUCACUUAAAGUAUCCCUUCUGUAUAUUUAAAUCCUUACAUAUGUUUAAAGGGAAAUCUGUAUGUGAUCUUCAUAUCAGAAACAAUGAACGUAAUGAACAAGAUUUUGCAUGGUUCAUCCAAUGACAGGAGAAUAUAUUUUAAAAUGUAAUCUGUGGGUAUUUAAACAUUUUAUUAGAAUAAAGAUUUAAUCAUGGAAAAGAAAGCACAAGAUUUAGAGCUGGAUAAUAUAUGAAAUUUUAUGGAUGAAAGGUGGGCUAUGUAGGAUGGCAUCAUUGUGACAAAUAUCUAGGAAUACUAAGAUUAAAAGGAGAAAAUUUUAUUUUGGCUCAUGAGUUCAAAGUUUUCAGUUCCAGGUCCAUAGUUCUUAUACAGUUGUUGAAUCUUAACAACAGAGAAUAUCAGUCAGGUGGGCAGAAAUAAAGACACUCCAGUGCUUUUUAUCAUGGCAGGCAUAAAACAGAGACAGGAAAGGUGCAGGUACCAAAAUCUAUCUAUGUUCAACAGUGAACUAUGUCCUCCAUCAUAGCCCCAUAUCCUAAUUUUCUAGCAAGGCCACCAGCUAGUGUUCAAGAGUUCAACACAUGAGCCUGUGUGGGCAUUCCUUAUUCAAAUUAUAUCAGAAAGGUGAGACAAUGAUGCCACAGGUAACUAAUAUGUAUAGUUUAGGAGAUCUUAAUGAUGCGUUUCUUUAUAAACUUCAGACUGAAAGCAAGUUAAAAGGAGACCAUGUUGCUGGAUACUUUUGUCUUUAUGUAAAGCACAAAGCUGGUGAGUCCUUUUUCACACUUACUUAAUUAGAUGGAAAUUGUUGUUAGGAAAUCCAGACCUGCAAAGCCGAUAUUCCCUGACUUUAUAUACAAAGGAUAUUUUGAACAUAUUUAUUCCUUGAUUCCCAUCCAGAUAGCAUUACCUAUCAGGGAAAACAUAUCUUAUUUCUGCUGUGAUGUGAGUUAGGUAAAAUAGAGAUGGUGAAAUUGCCCCCCCCCCGCCCCAUCCACUUCAAUUUCAUUUCUAGACCAUCUGAAACAAUAAAAUGCAGCUGUUUUGGAGUCUCAAGAAUGCCAAGUAUCUUGCACUUGCAACAUAAUUGAAUGAGUCUUAAUCACUUCUAGAAAUGUUUAGAACUAUCCCUAUGAUUAUAGCGUAGAAAAAUAAUUUCAAUAUCCGAUGGAUUGACAAAAGACAUACUUAGAUUUCCAAAGCUGAUGUAAGUAGGAAGAGAAUCAACUCUCCUUCACUAAGAAAAAAACUGAAUUUUUUUUUGCUCCACAUAAGCUUCUUUUUUUCCCUCCAUCUUUAUUAACUUGGGUAUUUCUUAUUUACAUUUAGAUUGUUAUUCCCUUAAAAAAUUAAUCUUAAAAAGAAAAUUAGGUACUAGAGACAUGGCCCUGCAUUUAGGAACACUUGCUGCUCUUACAGAGGACCGGAGUUCAGUAUCCGUAACACUCAGAGUAGCUGUUGUAAUGCUAUAUUUAGACGAUUUGUUGUCUGCUUCUGACUUUUGUGAGUAUUGAACACACACACACACACACAACACACACACACACACACACAAAACACAAAUAAAAUAAACAUAUAUUUUAAUUCUUUGUCAUGUUUAUGCUUCAGUCCUUUGUGCCACAGAGAUUAGCAGUGCUUUUCUAUGAAAUUUGUUUUCUGGUCCACACUAUUUCUUUCGGGAGGUGAUCCAUUGCUAUGCUCAUGUAUAAGUAAGCUAUCAAUUUGUAUUCUUUAGCUUCUACAUGGUAACAAACACAUCUCUGUGGGAAUAACACAUCUUCAUUAAUGAAGAGUCAAAACUAAUUUUUCGAGAGUAAGGCAUGUGGAAACCCUCCUGAGAUAGUCGAAGCCUGGAGUCUAAAAAGCUUCAGGCUUCUCCUCAGAGCUUAAUCAGGUCUUAUACUGAGAGUGUAGAGUUUUUACAAAACCCCUGAUAAUAAUUAAAUGUCAUUAUAGGCUGAAUUUGUUUAACUGCCAAUUGCAGUCAAAAUAUUUGUAGUGAUAAAUGCUUGUGUGACUGCAGAGUUAAGGGCCUAUCAGAGAGCAGAGUGUGCUUUUUUGUGUAGGAAGCACCCAGGCACAAAACUAUAACUCAGUCUUUUUAUAGCUGUAUCAGGUACCAUCUUUCAUACAAAACAUAAGAUAUUACUCUGGAUAAUUUCUUUAUGAGAUUUUUUUCAGGGAGGUUAUCAAAGUAUCAAAAUUAUAUAAAAUCAGAAUAUGUGUGAAUGCAUAUGUGUAUAUGUAUGUUUAUGAUUUCUCCAGGAGGGGAUUUUAAAAAUAACUCUUAUCCACAUUGCCAGGCAAUCAGGACUAUGAAAUCUAGAAGGCAUUAUUGUAUCAGAGAUUCUGGUCCUCAGACUUUUACAACUAUUUUGGGGAAAAAUGAUGAAAGAAAGAAAGAAAGAAAGAGAGAGAGAGGGGGGGGAGGGAGGGAGGGAGGGAACGGAGGGAGGGAAGGAGGGAAGGAGGGAAGGAGGGAGGUAGAAAGAAAAAAAAAGAAAGAAAGAAAGAAAGAAAGAAAGAAAGAAAGAAGACUUUAAAACACUAGAAUAAUCUCAAUUAAGACCAGGAAUUGAAAUGUAACAAAAAUUAAUAAUCUGAUAAAACUAUGAGAGUGAAAGCAAAUGAAUAUGAUAAAUAACAUCUUAAGAGAAAUGUAAAUUAAAGUGCAAAAUACUUUCAAAUUAAGAAAACAUGAGAGAGAGGAUUGAAUAUUCAAGAUACAAUAUGCACAUUAACUCUAGAGAGAGACAAAUUCUACAGAAAAGAAUCAUGUUCAAAGUAGAGAAGCAUGGUACAUUCCUAAGAGUAAUGGAUUGUACAGUCUGGAAUGGAAGAAAGACAUGAGAGGUGGGGGAGUCAGACAGACAAACAGAAACAGAGACACAGAAAGAGACAAACAGAGAAACAGAAAGAGAAGGGGAUGCGACAAAGAGAAAGACAGAACAAGACACAGAAGGCAGAGAGGGAAGAGAAGGAAGACGACAAAGCAGAGGAGGAGGAGGAGGAAGCAGAGGAAAAUGUGAGGAAAACAAGAAGAAGAAAAUACAGAUGUGAUUCAGAGAAACAGAAAAUGAUUUCAGUAGAAAAACUGGAUACUGGCUAUCAGCUAAACUUUUCUAAAUCAAUUUUAUCUAAUGAAAAUAGCGAUGCAUAUUUUAAACAAUAAUGAAUAGAAAUCGCAGGGACAUGUUUCCAUGGAUAAGAGUGCUUGCUACUCUAAUGAGAGCCUGAGUUCAAAACCCAUAACCCACAUAAAAUUAGGAUAAGUCCAUACUCACCUAUAACCUAGCCAUUGUAGUGUGGAGACAGGGGGAUUCCUGUCGCUGGUGCUACCCCAUAGCCAGCUUAGCUUAGAGUUAAGUGAGAGACACUGUCUACACAUAAUAAGAUAGUAAUAGAAGUCACCUAUUUGUUCUUUGGCCCCUGCAGGUGACCACCCAUAUGCAUACAGAAGUAUGUUGUCCGUGUACUCACAUCAGAAAGGGAGGAGGGAGGGAGAUAUUUAAGAAAGACUUUUAUAUUUACUCAUUUCAAGAUCAAAGUAUACAGUCCAAACAAGUUCUAAAUGGUAUGAAGACACUUUCAAGUCAGCUUUCCCACAAGACUGUGUUACAAAACCAGAAUUAGAUAGCUAAAAUUGUAACAGAAAAAUAUCCUCAGCAGUGAAUAUAAAGAACAUGACUUACUGAUUUACGAUGAAACAAAGGACACACUAACCAAAAGCACCAGUUGAGCAGGUUGUUAGAGUAAUAUCAAAAUUAGCUAGUGCCCAACUUAAAGCAAAUAUGCAAACUGCAACCUUUUACACUUCUUAAUGGCUCAAGAAUAUGACUGCAUAAACAUCUAUCAGACACGAUUAAGUCAACUAUGAUACAAAAAAUGAUGUACUUUUGAUUGAAAAAGCAUUAUUAGUUAUUAAGAUGUGGUUUUGAUUUAAACUUUAGUGUAAUUAGUAUCCAGUUGGAUGAUUUCCGUAGCAAAAGAAAAUAUGGAGGAACAUCUCCAGAAAUCAGUCAGUAUUGAAUUCAUUUGCACUAGAAGAAUUAAUAAUUUUAGCAUCUAUACCCUUUCAGUAUUUCUUCUUUUUUUUCUUUUUCCUCCUCCCUCUUCCUUCUCUCAAAAAUUAAACCUGAGUCUUUUUCACUUCUGAGAAAAGAGAAGGAAUCUGUUUGCCGUGUUCUUCCCACAAAAGAGAUCUAAAUUCAUGAUUACCAUAUUUAAGACAAAUUUGAGAGGCUUUUAAAGUCAGAAAUAAAAGAACUUAGGAUAACUGAAGACAGGGGGACUUGAGAAAUGAUAUGGUGAAAAGUCCUCUGUUAUUUUCUCUGUUGUUUAUGUAUUUUUGCCUCAUGUUUCAGAUUUGAACAUAAAGGAGUCAACAGCCCAGAAAUGUCAAUCUGUGCAGAAAAAAGAAGUGCGAUCUCUCUAGCCUAGGGAAAAUCUAGAAAGAAAAAUCAAAUAAGCAAAAGGAAACAACACUUAUAGAACAAAUGAUGAUGUACCCAAGUACUGCUGUAAAAAGAACAACUCACACCCCUUUUAUCCACUCCAGGAACAGCUAUGACAGUACAGACUUGUAAAUGUGUAUCAUCCAGAGGCUGUGUCCUUCUUUUUGGCAUGCUCAAGUGCCUCCCCAUCUCACCCUACCCCUUUUCUCCUGGAUGGUUACAGGGAAAUUCCUGGGGUCCAGGUUUUUCAUAACCCUUUGGAUAGUCACAAAGCUGACCAUGGUGUCAGCUGAGACAUCAUAGAGACAUGAAACCUUAGUUUGCACCCAAGAAUAAUGAAAGGACAUUUCUUUAGGUGUCAUGAUGGUUAGAGAUGUCAAUUUGACCUAAAGGGUGGAAUUCUGCAGGGCUGUCUUGAAAUAAUUUCUUGAUAUAGGAUUAUCUGGUAUCACUGUAGGUAGGACCACUAAGUAGUGGAAGCCUACACUAUAUUAAGUGGAACGUGUAAACCAAACACUAGCAUGAAUUCAUCAGUGCUCUUCAUUAUUCACAUACGUGAUAGAACCAGGUGCGUCCAUCUCCUGCAACUAAGAUUACUCUCCUUUGUGACGACCUCUGACCUGGAACUGCACGCCAAAGUAAACCCCUUCCCAUUGAGUUACUUUAUCAAAAUUAUUAUUACAAAAGGAAAACAAUUUAAUAAAAUCAUCAAUAAAAAAUUAAUUAUAUUGCUGCAUUGGUAACAAAAGAAUCUCUCCGUAAUAGAAAAUUACAGGACACAUUCUUUUAACACUCAUGAGUCAAAUAUAAUAAGUCUGAAAGAAAAUCAUGAAGUCUAUUAAACUGAAUAAAAGUCAAAAUUUUCAUUUAUGGACAUUUGAUGACAUACACUAGUUAGAAAACAUUUAUAGUACUAAAUGUGUAAUGCAUAGAAAAAGAAAAGUGCCAGGAAUUACUAGGUGUGCCCCUGACCCCAGAACCUGGGAAACUGAGGUAGGAAGAUGGUAAUUCAAGGCUAUAUGGGAGACAGAGACCGACUCUGUCUGAAGCUAACAAACAACUACAAUCUUCAAUUAUAAUUUGACUGUCAAAACUGACAGAGCAAAUAAAAAUAAAAUUACAUAGUAUAACGUUAUUAUUAACUAUUGAACAGUGCUAUCUACUCCCAUAACCCACUUUAAAAAAAACAUACAAAAUGAAAGGAACCUAAGGAAGAGGCUGAGAAAAGAGAGCAAAACCCAAAAAUUAUAUUAAAAGGACAACAACAACAACAACAACAACAACAAAAAUAAACAGUGAAGAAUCUCAAAUCAAAUCAUUGAAAAAAUGAUUUUUAAAACUGACACAGAAAUUAUGCACAUAGACAAAAGUGGUGUUAUAAACGUUAUUGGAAUUAUUUACAAAAUUAUUUUUGUCCUGCGGGAAGACAUUUUAAGGAGGUAAAGUUAAACUGUGGAGAAGGAUAAAAUAUCUACUUCAAUACAUCAUGAAAAGAGCUAGAAACUAGAAUGGGAAGAAUGAGGAACUGGUGAGACGGCUCUGUGGUUAAAGGUGGUCACGGCUGAGUCUGAUUACCUGAGUUUGAUUCCUGGGACUGGGAUGGUGGAGGAGAGCACCCACUCCCUCAAGGUAUCUUUGGAUUGCCACACUUCUAGUAGUGACCAGGAAAUCUUCCCAAUAUACACAAAUAAGGAGUAAAUAAAUAAUUCUUUAAAUUAGACUAUAAAACUUUUAAAUCAUGUAAAAAAUAUACAAACAAGGCCAUUCUUUGGAUGGAUGUGAAGAGACACAGUACUUUAGAUUUUAUUCAGAUCACUGUGAACCUUGUCUAAGCUUGUCAUGCAUCAAAAAAAAAUCAAAUGAAGUUCACAGGGAAGGUUAAUCUCCAAGUAAAGUGGCUAGAAAAUAUUAGCAGCCACACCACAGUGUGGAGAGGAAUUGGAGAGAAGGGCUCACCCAGAGUAUUGCUGGCAGGAAUGGAAAAUGCUUCAUUCACUAUCUUGGCUUUGUUUCCUGUUGCUGUGAUAAAAUAUCUGACAAAAGCAAGUUUUAGAAGAAAGGGGCUUUUGUUGCUCACAGACCCAGUUUACUGCCUCUCACUGAGGGAAGUUACUGAGGUAGCAGAUGGAGAGAACUGGUCACCCUGCAUCCACACGCAAGAGCUGGUGUCAAUGGAUAAAUAUAUCAUGCGAUGUUAACCUCAUGCUCCUCCCAUGUAUGUGGUUUAGGGUCCUAUGGUAAGGAAUAGUGCUCUAGUCUCUGAGUGAUGUCUUUUCUUAUCAAUUAAGUUCAAGACAACUCACUUCAGACAUGGCCCUGAUCCAAUCUGCUCGAGACAACUCUUCACCAAUAUUUCUCCCUGAUGAUUCUAAAUUGUGUCAAGUUGACAGUCGCAGUUAAUGAUCACAAGAAUACUGGAGAAAAGUUAAAAUUUUUCUUCUAAAGAAAAAUAAGUUCAGACAUGCACGUGCAUGCGUGCGUGCACACGCAAACACUCCCCUGUUAACAGGCUAGGGUGUGACUUGAUUUUGCAGGGAUGGGAAGCACUGUGCAUGAUCUGAGACUCUGGACUAAGACAUCUAUGGGGCAGACAAAUAGACGAAUACCUGGUUCUUGACUUGAGCUGUAACUACAAGAAUGCUUCCUUUAAAAUAUUUUCUGAGGUCCUGUAUGUAUUUUCUAUGCCUUUUAAGAAACUGAAGAUUUUAGAGCAGAUUUUUCAAUUUAAAAUUUUCAAAUCUUACAAAUGAUUUUAAGCCUAUAUUUUUUUUAACUUUAGUAUGUACAGAUGGUCUUCAAUGUAUGACCAUACUACUUAACAUUUUCCUCAUAGCAAUACAUAUUCGGUACAAACCAUAUUUCAAAUAUCUUUUUGGUUAAUGGUGGAUUCUUGAGCUACUUACUAACAGCAGAAAACCCAUAGCUGCCCGUCAGCCCAGUGAAGAUAAAAGUGACAGUGUGCGUUGUCCUAAGUUUGAAGCUCAGUAGCCAAGUGCGUUCAUGGCGUAUAUGUAUAUGACAGCAUAUGUGCCUUAGCCACUUUGCUGUUGCUGUAAUAAGAAGUUUGAUUAAAGCAAAUUAAGGGAAGAGCAGUUUAUUCUGGCAUCAUGGUAGGGAAAUCACAGAGACAGAGGAAACUUGCCACAUUGCAAGUACAUCCCAGAGCAGUGAAUGAUUACAUGAACUCUCAACCGUGUUCUCUGUUUUAUAUACUUCAGAAUCCAUACCCAGGAAGUCGAGCUGGGCAGGGAGACAUAGGUUGUCCUUUUAUACCCCAGGAUGACCUCUAACUUUCUACGUAUCCCAAGAUAGCCUUUAAUACUCAACCUUCCUGACUCAGCUCCCAGGACCCUGGGAUUAUGAGUGCAAAUUAUAAGAUUCAUUCUAAUCCUAAUGAUAAUAGCAUCUUUCCCUUCUUCCACAAGCUAGUUAUUAGGGGUUUCUAGUUCUGUUAAUGUAAUAGUUAAUUUUCAAGAGACAAAAAUGCUAGAUUUUUAGUAUAGAAGCAGUUAUCUAUUUUCAUGUUUAAAAAUGAACUAAAGUAUAAGAGACCAAUAUAACCCUGGUGAUAAAUUUUACAUGCUUUUAAAGCAGUGUUGUCUGGAUCUCAAGUAUGAGAAAUUAUAAUCUAUCAUCAGAAGAGCAAGGGACAAGGUUUGUGUACAACUAGUGGAAAUUUUAGCAUUUCACUUUUACAGAUAUCGCUUCCUAAGUGAAAUUCAUAUUUACUACAUUGGGAAAUGCUGAUUUAAUUUGUCAAUGUUAUUUAUAGCCCAAUGGCCAAUUUUGUAUACAAUAUUAAUAUUAUAAGAAUAAAAACCUAAUUAUGCAUUUAUUACUUACAUAAUUAUGAUCUAAUUAUCCAACUAGCAGAAAAUGCCUUUCACUGUGGGUAGAUUUCAAUAAAGAUAUUUUUUAUAAACUUUACUUGGCACUUACUGUGCAAUAAAUGUCUCCAUAAAUAUAAAUCCAGUGCUUUCUUCAGAGAGCCCAUUUUACAUAAUCAAUCUUAGUGACAACAGUUUUGUUUAGAAAAUAUGACUUUUAAAUAUUGAAUAGAUUAGAGCCCAUGGCUUUUCCUAAGCAAUACUCCUCCUUCCUUAUAAAUGACGUUUAAAACUGUUCUUUUCUGUUUCCUUUCAAUGUGAAACAAAAUAGUCCAUCAAUUGUGUCAUCUCAAUUGUGUCAGGCUUCCUCCUUCUCUUCUUCUUUUGUAUGGUUUCGUGGAUAAUUGAGUAAAAUUAUUGAAUAUGAAGCAUACCAAGGGUAGAACACUCUUAUGUGGCCAAAUUUGCUAGACCCCUCUUCUAGGGUCUCACCACUAUUACACACUAGCAAAACAGAAACUCUGUACAUUAGUAACUGUACAUUAUCCAGAAACUCAUCCAAGCAAAACCAAUGGUAAAACAAACGAGUAAGACCUAAUGUCUCAUUACCAGACAUAAUUACUACAAAUAAACAUGUUUGAGAUUUUAGAGAUAUUUGAAGGAGACUGGAAAUUUCUGGUGUUACUUAUGUGGUUAUGUUAAGACCAGCAUUCAGAUUUGUUACUAUGCAACAAAUUUGUUACUAUUUUGAUGAUUGGCUUUCUUAAACUGUACACUUCUUAGGAAAGUGAAUUAAAAUAUUAGCAACUGACUUUCAUAGUCAAGUCUUUUUUCUGGGUUAUUUCAUCACUUACUUAUUCAUUCAAUAAAUAUAUUAUCCCACUAUUUUUUACCAUUUCCGUUGUAGCCUAAGUAAUGUGACCAAAACUAAAAUGUGCACUUUUAUAAAAUCAUGAUCAAGUGGAAGGCAACAUUACAAUAAAAGCAAGGUAGAUAUAGUCAGAUGGUAAAUGCUAUAAAUAUUCUAUAGUUAAUUCACAGAGGAAUAAAACAAUAUCAGGGUCCUGUUUUGUGAUUUUUGCGAUAAAAUGAAAAUUGGGAGGGUCUUGGUGUAAAUAAAAGAGUUAUCCAGGUGACAAACUAAGGGAGCUGUUUCACCGAAAGGCAAUUGUAAGCUUAUUGGUCCUGUAGAUGAUCCAGAUGUGUGAGCCCAUGUGUAGCUAGAAUGACGGCAGGCAAAGCUGGGAACUCAGGACAGAGCUUGAGGAGCUGGGAGAUCUACAUGGAAGUUGAUUGCACACAUUAAGAAGAGGAACCAUAAAACAUUUUAAAAGAGAAAAGACAGUUUCUGAAUUCUGCUAAUACAUUUCACUCUGGCUUUGGUGUGAAAAAUACUGCAGAGUUAGAGAAGACAGCAGCAGAAUGACUGAUCAGGAGAGAAAUGGAAUACUUCUAAGGUGGAAGUUGUCUGUAUUUGGACAACUGCUGCUGAGUAGGUGAAGGAUCUAUGUAGAUGUUGGGAAUAGAGAAAAGAAGAAUUGACAAUCAAGUCAAGACUUGGGGUCUGUACAAUAGAAGGACGUAGUAAUACACGGCAGAGAUGGAGAAGAGAAGGAAGAUAGAAGUUCUGAAAUAUUGACUGAACAGGUAACUACAGUUUAAUCAUUUCAAAAUAUCAAUCCAUAGAUGUAUGUUACACAGAGAUGCACAGGAACAUGCACAAACAUCAUAAGGAAAUGGGAACGAGAUACCUGUUAUCCUCUGUGGAGACACAGUGGUGCAUCAUUUUGAGUGGCUACUAUGAAACAUAUUCCAAAGAAGAGAUGUGGAGAACUCCCAAAGCCAGCAACACAAACUGUCAGUUAUUCAGUCAUUGUAAUGCCUGAUUUGUUCUGGAUCUAUACAGCCAUUGUUUCACAGUUGUAUAUGCUGAUUUCAUGGGACAUCAAGAGCCCUGGUUAGCUUACUUAUCAAGAUAAUUGAUGAACACUUAGAAGAGGGGUUAUUGAUGACUAUGUUCUUUGAACACUAAUUUAGUGUCCCCUGAUCAACAUCUAUGGCAAUGUUUGUUGUCAAAACGACGGUUACAAUAAGAACUAUAAGACAAGAGAAGCAAAUGUUGUGAGGGAGAAGUUUGUGGGAUUGGUCAAGGCCUCAUGAUAUGUUUCUUCCUUGGGUCUUCUCCAGAGGCUCCACAUCUGUAUCCCAUCUGCUUUUAAACCUACUUGUUUGGCUUCCUGUUCCUACUGAGCAACAGAAAAAAGACCUCAGCCCCCAGACUUCUUUACACCCAAUAAUGUUCACAUUAUGUGAACUAUGAAAUAUAUGUGUGCUAAAAUC